UGCAGCCUUGUCAAAUUCAGCACUGUCUGUCUCAUGGCAUCUGCUGGCCCAGUUGGCUGCUACAUUAACUGUGUAGCUCGCGGGCCCCGGCUUCCCUUAGUGAUACCCGGGGACAGUAACGAGCUACGACAGUC